UACGGAGGGUGCAAGCGUUGUCCGGAUUUAUUGGGUUUAAAGGGUGCGUAGGCGGCUAUAUAAGUCAGUGGUGAAAUACGACAGCUUAACUGUCGAACUGCCAUUGAUACUGUAUUGCUUGAGUACAGACGAGGUAGGCGGAAUUGAUAGUGUAGCGGUGAAAUGCAUAGAUACUAUCAAGAACACCGAUUGCGAAGGCAGCUUACUAGGCUGUAACUGACGCUGAGGCACGAAAGCGUGGGGAUCAAACAGG
rnacentral:rRNA from 1 species